CGCUGGCGGCACGCCUUAUACAUGCAAGUCGAACGCAGUAGCAAUACUGAGUGGCAAACGGGUGAGUAUAAUGUGGGUAUCUGCCUUUUGGUUUGGAAUAACAUGAGGAAACUUGUGCUAAUACCGGAUAAGCCUUCACAGGGAAAGUUUUAUACGCCGAAAGAUGAGCCCGCACUUGAUUAGUUUGUUGGUGAGGUAAUGGCUCACCAAGACAAUUAUCAAUAGCUGGUCUGAGAGGACGAUCAGCCACAUUGGGACUGAGACACGGCCCAGACUCCUACGGGAGGCAGCAGUAAGGAAUCUUGCACAAUGGGGGAAACCCUGAUGCAGCGAUGCCGCGUGAGUGAAGAAGGCCCUUGGGUUGUAAAACUCUUUCGUCGGGGAAGAAAAUGACUGUACCCGAAUAAGAAGGUCCGGCUAACUUCGUGCCAGCAGCCGCGGUAAUACGAAGGGACCUAGCGUAGUUCGGAAUUACUGGGCUUAAAGAGCUCGUAGGUGGUUAAAAAAGUUGAUGGUGAAAUCCCAAGGCUCAACCUUGGAACUGCCAUCAAAACUUUUUAGCUAGAGUGUGAUAGAGGAAAGUGGAAUUUCUAGUGUAGAGGUGAAAUUCGUAGAUAUUAGAAAGAACACCAAAUGCGAAGGCAACUUUCUGGGUCACUACUGACACUGAGGAGCGAAAGCAUGGGUAGCGAAGAGGAUUAGAUACCCUCGUAGUCCAUGCCGUAAACGAUGUGUGCUAGACGUUGGAAAUAUAUUUUUCAGUGUCGCAGCGAAAGCAUUAAGCACACCGCCUGGGGAGUACGACCGCA
rnacentral:rRNA from 1 species